rnacentral:rRNA from 1 species
UAGGGAAUCUUCCACAAUGGGCGAAAGCCUGAUGGAGCAACGCCGCGUGUGUGAUGAAGGGUUUCGGCUCGUAAAACACUGUUGUAAGAGAAGAAUGACAUUGAGAGUAACUGUUCAAUGUGUGACGGUAACUACCCAGAAAGGGACGGCUAACUACGUGCCAA